rnacentral:rRNA from 1 species
GACGAACGCUGGCGGCGUGCUUAACACAUGCAAGUCGAACGGAAAGGCCCUGCUUUUGUGGGGUGCUCGAGUGGCGAACGGGUGAGUAACACGUGAGUAACCUGCCCUUGACUUUGGGAUAACUUCAGGAAACUGGGGCUCAUACCGGAUAGGAGCUCCUGCUGCAUGGUGGGGGUUGGAAAGUUUCGGCGGUUGGGGAUGGACUCGCGGCUUAUCAGCUUGUUGGUGGGGUAGUGGCUUACCAAGGCUUUGACGGGUAGCCGGCCUGAGAGGGUGACCGGCCACAUUGGGACUGAGAUGCGGCCCAGACUCCUACGGGAGGCAGCAGUGGGGAAGAUUGCACAAUGGGCGGAAGCCUGAUGCAGCAACGCCGCGUGCGGGAUGACGGCCUUCGGGUUGUAAACCGCUUUCGCCUGUGACGAAGCGUGAGUGACGGUAAUGGGUAAAGAAGCACCGGCUAACUACGUG